UGUUAUCAACACACACCUUCUACGAGGAGGUCUUCAGACUUCAUACAGGUUAGAGAUGGAGAUAUCUCUGUUGUCAACACACACACACACCUUCUACGAGAAGGUCUUCACAGACUUCAUACAGGUUAGAGAUGGAGAUAUCUCUGUUAUCAACACACACCUUCUACGAGGAGGUCUUCAGACUUCAUACAGGUUAGAGAUGGAGAUAUCUCUGUUGUCAACACACACACACACCUUCUACGAGAAGGUCUUCACGGACUUCAUACAGGUUAGAGAUGGAGAUAUCUCUGUUGUCAACACACACACCUUCUACGAGAAGGUCUUCACGGACUUCAUACAGGUUAGAGAUGGAGAUAUCUCUGUUAUCAACACACACCUUCUACGAGGAGGUCUUCAGACUUCAUACAGGUUAGAGAUGGAGAUAUCUCUGUUGUCAACACACACACACCUUCUACGAGAAGGUCUUCACGGACUUCAUACAGGUUAGAGAUGGAGAUAUCUCUGUUAUCAACACACACCUUCUACGAGGAGGUCUUCAGACUUCAUACAGGUUAGAGAUGGAGAUAUCUCUGUUGUCAACACACACACACACCUUCUACGAGAAGGUCUUCACGGACUUCAUACAGGUUAGAGAUGGAGAUAUCUCUGUUGUCAACACACACACACCUUCUACGAGAAGGUCUUCACGGACUUCAUACAGGUUAGAGAUGGAGAUAUCUCUGUCGUCAACACACACACACCUUCUACGAGAAGGUCUUCACGGACUUCAUACAGGUUAGAGAUGGAGAUAUCUCUGUUGUCAACAC